GCUGGGUGUGGUGGUGCACACCUGUAGUCCUAGCUACUCAGGAGGCUGAGACAUGAGGAUCGCUUGAGCCCAGGAGUUCAAGGCUGCAGUGAGCUAUGAUCAUGCCACUGCCUUCCAGCCUGGGCAACAGAGCAAGACCCCAUCUCUA
rnacentral:SRP_RNA from 1 species